rnacentral:rRNA from 1 species
CUACGGGAUGCUCCAGUGAGGAAUAUUGGUCAGUGGCCGAGAGGCUGAACCAGCCAUCCCGCGUGCAGGAUGACGGCCCUAUGGGUUGUAAACUGCUUUUCUACGCCAAGAAAUCUGAUUACGAGUAAUAGUUGACGGUAGCGUAGGAAUAAGCAUCGGCUAACUCCGUGCCAGCAGCCGCGGUAAUACGGAGGAUGCAGGCGUUAUCCGGAUUCAUUGGGUUUAAAGGGUGCGCAGGCGGGCUUGUAAGUCAGUGGUGAAAUACUGCCGCUUAACGGUAGAACUGCCAUUGAUACUGCAAGUCUUGAAUAUGGUUGAGGUAGGCGGAAUGUGUUGUGUAGCGGUGAAAUGCAUAGAUAUGACACAGAACGCCGAUUGCGAAGGCAGCUUACUAAGCCAUUAUUGACGCUGAGGCACGAAAGCGUGGGGAGCGAACAGGAUUAGAUACCCGUGUAGUC